rnacentral:rRNA from 22 species
CAACUUUCAACAACGGAUCUCUUGGUUCUGGCAUCGAUGAAGAACGCAGCGAAAUGCGAUAAGUAGUGUGAAUUGCAGAAUUCAGUGAAUCAUCGAAUCUUUGAACGCACAUUGCGCCCUUUGGUAUUCCAAAGGGCAUGCCUGUUCGAGCGUCAUUUG